GCGUAGCGUAACGUAACGUAACGUGCGUGCGUGGCGGGACCAGGCUGCCGGAGGUCUUAGAACCACGACGUUGGGGUCGAAGCGGCGAGUGAGGGACAAUGGCGCCUAGCGUGGCCUUGGCGCCGGAGCCGAAGCAGAACUUGCCCAGGGGCAUCCGUGCAGUGCUGCUAGGGCCACCCGGGGCUGGCAAGGGCACGCAGGCUCCCAAGUUGGCUGAAAACUACUGUGUUUGCCAUUUGGCUACAGGGGACAUGCUGAGAGCCAUGGUAGCAUCAGGUUCCGAGCUGGGCCAGAGACUCAAGAAGACAAUGGAUGCUGGAAAACUAGUGAGUGAUGACAUGGUUGUAGAACUGAUUGAGAAGAACCUCGAUAGCCCUCCUUGCAAGAAUGGCUUCCUCUUAGAUGGCUUCCCUCGGACAGUGAGACAGGCAGAAAUGCUGGAUGACCUCAUGGACAAGAGGAAAGAAAAGUUAGAUUCAGUCAUUGAGUUCAAAAUCGCUGACUCUCUACUUAUUCGGAGAAUCACAGGAAGGUUGAUCCAUCCUGCAAGUGGCCGCUCCUACCAUGAGGAGUUCAACCCCCCAAAGCAGCACAUGAAGGAUGAUGUCACUGGGGAGCCUUUGAUUCGACGUUCAGAUGACAAUGAAACUGCUUUGGAAGCCCGCCUGAAGUCGUACCACUCCCAGACUACCCCCCUGGUGAAGUACUACAGUAAGCAAGGGAUCCAUACCGCUGUGGACGCAUCUCAGUCUCCAGAUGUGGUGUUUGCCAGCAUCCUGGCAGCCUUCUCCAAAGCGACAUGUGACCGUUCUAAAAUGUAAGACCUGGAAAAGACCAUCUCGUCCAGCCCCUUCAUGUGAGAAAAAUGAGGAACAGAGAAGUUAAGGGACUUGCCCAAGACCACACAAGUACCAAAUGACUACAGGCCAGGCAAGACCACACCAUUGCUGACCAACUUCAGAGCAAGAGUCCAAGCUUUUAAGUGCUGGGCAGAGGGGAGGGCUUGGUGAGGAACAAAAAGGAUACAAGGAUUGGGGGGGAGAUUGUUUUUCCCCAUUCAAGCGGGAGUUUUAUAAAUAGUAGUUAGUUGGGAGGGUAUGUUGUGGGGAGAGGGUCAUACAUUUUUAAAGCUCCCAAGGUGGAGGGUAUGGGAAAGAAGAGAAAGGCCUAGUAUUAAUUCCACAGGAUCCCUUGGGCACAGUUACCUUUCAUCCAGGAAUGUGAUGGUAAUUCAAAAGCCAUUGACCUAAGACCUCAGUUGUCAUUUAUGGACCUCUAAGCUUGCCAGAUGGGGAGAGCAGUGACUCCCCCUGUUGUCUCCUCUCUCUUCUGUACCUCAUAACAGGGUAGGUUUUGGUUACUGACCUUAACACCCCAUAAAAUGUGACCAAAUAAUAGUCCCCGUGUUUGGAUGGGUGGUGAGGAAUGUAUGUGACAAGGAUGGCUGGAAACACUAAAUUGAAUGGAAUUCAUAAGGGUGAAGCCAGGGAAGGUGGCAUCCUCCUGCUUUUCUUACCUCUGAUAUGACUAACUCUCCAUUAAUCUCAAGGGAAAAGCCAUCAUCAGUUGCUAUCUGCAAGUGUGCAUCCUUUGUUCUUGCCUUCUUUCUACACACUGUGUAAAGAAUCCUUUUUCUUUCCCAACAAAGCCAAACCUUGAAGAUUGUGUCAUUCCAAAGAAGUUCCUUCCCCUCCCCAACUCUUGAGGCUGAAACACUGCAGCCCUACGGUGGUGUGUUUUGUUUUUAAAACAAGGUGCCUUUCGCCUUUAACUGACCAAAUGCUGCUCUUUUUUGGCCCUGGAAUCAAUAAAAUGUAUUAAUCAUUUGUA